AAAAAGGCAGUGUAUUGCUUCCUUUGUGGCUCUACUCUUGUAGACUUCAAGAAAAUCAUUUCCAUUGUUAUUGGGUGAACCUCUUAAUCUGUUUUGGUAACUGAAGGGUAAAUGAUGGAAUAUUG